GAGGAUGCAGAUCGUCGGGCAGCUGGGAGGCAUCAAGCGCAUGAAGAUCCCAAAGUCGUGUCUGCUGUUCGGGAAAGUGUCAACUACCUAGAUACUCAACAGAAUAUGUUCCUGAUUCCUUGGUCAUUUUCACCACUGAAAUAGUUUCCUACUGACUGUUUUGCUAGCUAAGUGAGAUGUUUCAGUGGCCAGUGCUUCAAUUCUCUCUAGAGAAUUACUUCAACUUUUAUUUGAAGGAAGUGGUAAGUUAAUUUACUGUGCAUUUUUAAAGACCAUUAAAGGCCCUUUUAUUAAA
rnacentral:lncRNA from 1 species